rnacentral:rRNA from 1 species
GACGAACGCUGGCGGCGUGCCUAAUACAUGCAAGUCGAACGCAGUUGGGACGGGUGAGUAACACGUGGGUAACCUCCCAUCAGAGGGGAUAACACUUGGAAACAGGUGCUAAACCGAUACUGAUGGAUGGACCCGCGGGGCAUUAGCUAGUUGGUGAGGUAACGGCUCACUAAGGCCACGAUGCAUAGCUGGCCUGAGAGGGUGAUCAGCCACACUGGGACUGAGACACGGCCCAGACUCCUACGUGAGGCAGCAGUGGGGAAUAUUGGGCAAUGGGCGAAAGCCUGACCGAGCAACGCCGCGUGAGUGAAGAAGGUUUUCGGAUCGUAAAACUCUGUUGUUAGAGAAGCGGUAUCUAAACAGAAAGCCACGGCUAACUACGUGCCAGCAGCCGCGGUAAUUC